UACGUAGGGUGCGAGCGUUGUCCGGAAUUACUGGGCGUAGAGAGCUCGUAGGUGGUUUGUCGCGUUGUUCGUGAAAACUCACAACUCAAUUGUGGGCGUGCGGGCGAUACGGGCAGACUGGAGUACUGCAGGGGAGACUGGAAUUCCUGGUGUAGCGGUGGAAUGCGCAGAUAUCAGGAGGAACACCGGUGGCGAAGGCGGCAUCCUGGACCGGCAUUGACGCUGAGGAGCGAAAGCCAGGGGAGCAAACGGG
rnacentral:rRNA from 1 species